rnacentral:lncRNA from 1 species
CACGACAAGGUGCUAUGGUGGAAGACAUUCAAAGGUCACUACAAGACCUAUUUUCGCUUCCCACCUCCUCAAUGAGGCAUGUUUUGAGUUUCUCUUAUCUCCUCCUUACUUGGAUUGGAAAAUUGGUGACAAUGUCCGGUUUAAGUUUAGGGGAUAUUUUGUUACUUAAUUAUUUCUCUGCAUUUCUGGUUGUUGCGUGUUUUUUAUUUUUGUUUGAACAAAUUUGCAUAUACCAUUGUUAAAAC